UCUCAUAAUGGUGCCCGCUUUGGUGCAAU
rnacentral:piRNA from 1 species